GGCCGCGGGAAUUCGAUUCAGGCCUAACACAUGCAAGUCGAACGGCAGCACGGAGCUUGCUCUGGUGGCGAGUGGCGAACGGGUGAGUAAUAUAUCGGAACGUACCCUAGAGUGGGGGAUAACGUAGCGAAAGUUACGCUAAUACCGCAUACGAUCUAAGGAUGAAAGUGGGGGAUCGCAAGACCUCAUGCUCGUGGAGCGGCCGAUAUCUGAUUAGCUAGUUGGUAGGGUAAAAGCCUACCAAGGCAUCGAUCAGUAGCUGGUCUGAGAGGACGACCAGCCACACUGGA
rnacentral:rRNA from 1 species